rnacentral:rRNA from 1 species
AGUACAGACGAGUUUGAUCCUGGCUCAGAACGAACGCUGGCGGCAGGCCUAACACAUGCAAGUCGAGCGCCCCGCAAGGGGAGCGGCGGACGGGUGAGUAACACGUGGGAACGUACCCUUUGCUACGGAAUAGUCUCGGGAAACUGGGGGUAAUACCGUAUGUGCCCUUCGGGGGAAAGAUUUAUCGGCAAAGGAUCGGCCCGCGUUGGAUUAGGUAGUUGGUGGGGUAAUGGCCUACCAAGCCGACGAUCCAUAGCUGGUUUGAGAGGAUGAUCAGCCACACUGGGACUGAGACACGGCCCAGACUCCUACGGGAGGCAGCAGUGGGGAAUCUUAGACAAUGGGCGCAAGCCUGAUCUAGCCAUGCCGCGUGAGCGAUGAAAGCCUUAGGGUUGUAAAGCUCUUUCAGUGGGGAAGAUAAUGACUGUACCCACAGAAGAAGCCCCGGCUAACUCCGUG